rnacentral:rRNA from 1 species
GGGGAAUAUUGGACAAUGGGCGCAAGCCUGAUCCAGCAAUGCCGCGUGGGUGAAGAAGGCCUUCGGGUUGUAAAGCCCUUUUGUACGGGAAGAAAAGCUUCGGAUUAAUACUUCGAGGUCAUGACGGUACCGUAAGAAUAAGCACCGGCUAACUUCGUGCCAGCAGCCGCGGUAAUACGAAGGGUGCAAGCGUUAAUCGGAAUUACUGGGCGUAAAGCGUGCGUAGGUGGUUAGUUAAGUCUGUCGUGAAAGCCCUGGGCUCAACCUGGGAAUGGCGAUGGAUACUGGCUGACUAGAGUGCGGUAGAGGGUAGCGGAAUUUCCGGUGUAGCGGUGAAAUGCGUAGAGAUCGGAAGGAACAUCCGUGGCGAAGGCGGCUACCUGGACCAGCACUGACACUGAGGCACGAAAGCGUGGGGAGCAAAC